UGGCGGCAGGCUUCACACAUGCAAGUCGAGCGGAGAGAGGUAGCUUGCUACUGAUCUUAGCGGCGGACGGGUGAGUAAUGCUUAGGAAUCUGCCUAUUAGUGGGGGACAACAUUUCGAAAGGAAUGCUAAUACCGCAUACGUCCUACGGGAGAAAGCAGGGGAUCUUCGGACCUUGCGCUAAUAGAUGAGCCUAAGUCGGAUUAGCUAGUUGGUGGGGUAAAGGCCUACCAAGGCGACGAUCUGUAGCGGGUCUGAGAGGAUGAUCCGCCACACUGGGACUGAGACACGGCCCAGACUCCUACGGGAGGCAGCAGUGGGGAAUAUUGGACAAUGGGCGGAAGCCUGAUCCAGCCAUGCCGCGUGUGUGAAGAAGGCCUUAUGGUUGUAAAGCACUUUAAGCGAGGAGGAGGCUACUUUAGUUAAUACCUAGAGAUAGUGGACGUUACUCGCAGAAUAAGCACCGGCUAACUCUGUGCCAGCAAGCCGCGGUAAUACAGAGGGUGCAAGCGUUAAUCGGAUUUACUGGGCGUUAAAGCGCGCGUA
rnacentral:rRNA from 1 species